UGGCGAAUUACUUCGGUAGUGCAACAAACAAAAUUCAUUAGUUUCCUUUAUCAUGUGGACGAUGAUUUUUGUUUUAUGUUCAUGGUCGGGACGCGCGAAACCGACGCUCACGGUUAUCGCUCGCUAUCAGUGUUGUUCUCGAACACUUUAAUAGUUUUCACGGUUAGCAGCACUGUUAGUCGCGAGCGUCGGCACAGAGUUGGUCGGCCAUAUAUGAGGGUUCUGUCUGUUGCGUUCACCACCACCACCGACGCCGCACAUUAGGUUAGUGUAAACAACCCGUCAUCGACAUUUGAUCGAUCAAUAAUCGCGCCCCAUCGUCGUCCACAUUGUUUUUACCACUGUUUGGCGACUAUGAUGUACGCAUGCAUCGUGUGUUUCCGAUUAACGUGAUAUCCGACCGCCAUAUCGUUUCAUGUGCAAAUUUGUUGUAGCGAUUUUUGUUUUACACGUUGUUUCACUGCAAGUAAUUGGACGUGGAUAGGAAGAUUACUUCCUAUGUUUCGAUAAGUUGUUUUUAUGCUACUAUGGAUCACCACAAUCAAAAAUAGAAAACGUUCAAUCAAUAAAAUGUACAUGUAAAAGGAACAUGUAUACUGGGCUAUUCAUAAUGAAACCCCAAUGAAAUCCAUUUCUAUAUAGUAGAAAGUAAAAACCAUUUAUUUAAAAAUGAGUUCAUCCAAUACUUAUAUUCCACCUUUGAAAAAAAAGAAAAAAGAAAAAAAAGGAAAAAAAAGAAAAAAAAGACUUAAUUCCUUCAGCGUCAGUUGAAGUAAAACAUGAAUCAGUACCUAAUUCUUUACCAAUUAAUAGUGAUUCGUGUGAUUGUCUUGAAACUGAUUGUCCUGGAUGUUUCUUACCAUGUGAAUCGUGUGGAUCAGUAAAAUGUGGAGUAGUUUGUCGGGUUGGUCGCGAAUGGAACUAUGAAUUUGUCAUAGUUGAAGGAAGGUAUAACUUUCCGGAUGAAGUAGAAACU